AUAUUCUGAAACUUAGAACUGUGUCACUGUUGGUUUUCUGUAUAAGGAGGAAAUAUGAUGCUUUGUUACUGGUCUUAUUUAUUGCAGACCUUGUCUGGAAUCUAGUAUUGAAGCUGUGCUUGAUGAGUUGCUGCCUUGAACUUUUCCACUGAUCAAUGCUGGUGCUAUGGCUGCAUGAAAGAAUAGCUUUCCUGAGGAGAAGCUAUCACAUGGGAAACACACUACACAGAGAGCCACAAGCGUGGUGAAGGUUUAAAGACUUUUGAGCAUCGCUGGGAGCAUCACAUGAACUUCAGCGCUGACACUCACCCUCAGGUGAGUGCUCAGGUGAGGUGCUGUCCUCUGAGCAGACCUGUGUU
rnacentral:lncRNA from 1 species